UGUGUCUUCUUUAUUCACAACUCAGUAACAUCAAAUCGCUAGCGGAUUGGUGGGGUUACACUUUGUUUUUACAGGUUUGUGAUCCCUAUGUCUCUGCCGGUGUAGAAAGAAGGACGUUGCUGGGCGCCUGGUGGUGAAUUCUGAGCCAUUAGGAAUCAGCUGUUCCGACACCU
rnacentral:snoRNA from 1 species